rnacentral:misc_RNA from 1 species
GAAAUUUUUUGAAGAAUAUUUUCAUCCUUUUGAGGAUAAUAAUCUUCCGGAUCCGCAUAACUGCACUUUGUACAUAAAAUAAUAGUUAAAAAAAUUCAAAAUCACCACUGUCCAAAAAUUACAUUUUUUUUUUCAAUUUCACUUCUUUUUUUUUUUAAACUAUUCUAGAGGUAGACUAAAUAAUAGCAACAUUGUGAUUAUCCUUAGCAAGGAAAAAGUUAAUUAACUUUAACUCGGGUUAAAACUAUUUCUAAAGCAAAAUUUGAACUAAAGCUCAAUCAACUAAAACAAAAAUCAUCAAAUCUCUUACACAUUGGCUAUCAUCCAAUCACAGCUGAAGUGAGUGAAAAUUUUAGUUUUUGGGAAUAACAUGGCAAGUCCAAAAUCUGCAAUCUAAACAAAAUAGUUGUGUGAGCUAAUUUAUUUUGGAUU